GGUUCUAAAGUCCCAACUGUCUGAGCACUUCUCUCCUGAGGGUUGAAGAUCCUGGCUGGCUCACCAUAAACUGCUAUAAUAGGAUUUUGCUUAGGAACUAAGAACAAAAGAGGAAGGAAGGAAAAAAGGAAGGAAAGAAGAGGAAGAAAACAAGUGUUUAUAUGUGCAAGAGAGUCAUCCCUUAUAACAAAGGAUUUUUAAAAGAGAAACAAGAGGCAAUCUUCCUAAUGAGCAUUGAUGCCAAAAUUUGAAAUAAAAUACUAGCAAGGAAAUUACA
rnacentral:lncRNA from 1 species